rnacentral:rRNA from 1 species
UGAGGAAUAUUGGUCAAUGGGCGCAAGCCUGAACCAGCCAUCCCGCGUGCAGGAAGACGGCCCUAUGGGUUGUAAACUGCUUUUCCAGGGGAAGAAUUUUUCUGUCGUGACAGGAAUUGACGGUACCCUGGGAAUAAGCAUCGGCUAACUCCGUGCCAGCAGCCGCGGUAAUACGGAGGAUGCGAGCGUUAUCCGGAUUUAUUGGGUUUAAAGGGUGCGUAGGCGGAUUGAUAAGUCAGUGGUGAAAACCUGCAGCUUAACUGUAGACGUGCCGUUGAUACUGUCAGUCUUGAGUGUGGUCAAGGUAGGCGGAAUGUGUAAUGUAGCGGUGAAAUGCUUAGAUAUUACACAGAACACCGAUUGCGAAGGCAGCUGACUGGGCCAUUACUGACGCUGAUGCACGAAAGCGUGGGGAUCGAACAG